rnacentral:rRNA from 1 species
UUGGAGGGCAAGUCUGGUGCCAGCAGCCGCGGUAAUUCCAGCUCCAAUAGCGUAUAUUAAAGUUGUUGCAGUUAAAAAGCUCGUAGUUGAAUUUCGGGGUCAGUAGGCUGGUCGUGCCUCAGGUACGUACUGGUCUUACUGAUUCCUCCUUCCUGACGAACCGUAAUGCCAUUAAUUUGGUGUUGCGGGGAAUCUGGACUGUUACUUUGAAAAAAUUAGAGUGUUUAAAGCAGGCUAACGCUUGAAUACAUUAGCAUGGAAUAAUGAAAUAGGACGAUCGAUCCUAUUUUGUUGGUUUCUAGGAUUGACGUAAUGAUUAAUAGGGAUAGUUGGGGGUAUUAGUAUUCAAUUGUCAGAGGUGAAAUUCUUGGAUUUAUUGAAGACUAACUACUGCGAAAGCAUUUGCCAAGGAUGUUUUCAUUAAUCAAGAACGAAAGUUAGGGGAUCGAAGACGAUCAGAUACCGUCGUAGUCUUAACCAUAAACUAUGCCGACUAGGGAUCGGAUGAUGUUAAUUUUUUAAUGACUCAUUCGGCGCCUUACGGGAAA